rnacentral:rRNA from 1 species
AUCUACGGCCAUGCAAGUCCGAUCAUUUAAGCAACGUCGGGCUCGGUUAGUUCUUGGAUGGGUGACCGCCUUGGAACACUGAGUGUGCUGUAGACU